rnacentral:rRNA from 1 species
UACGGAGGUGUCAAGCGUUGUUCGGAUUCAUUGGGCGUAAAGGGUGCGUAGGCGGCGCGGUAAGUCGGGUGUGAAAUCUCGGGGCUUAACUUCGAAACUGCAUUCGAUACUGCCGUGCUUGAGGACUGGAGAGGAGACUGGAAUUUACGGUGUAGCGGUGAAAUGCGUAGAUAUCGGAAGGAAGACCAGUGGCGAAGGCGGGUCUCUGGACAGUGCCUGACGCUGAGGCACGAAGGCCUGGGGAGCAAACGGG